UUCCAACGGCACUUUCCCAUCUCACGGUAUGCAGAUCCGAUCCAAUCCCUGUUUUCCUCUUUUGAUUUGCUUAGAUAGGAGCGUGUCGAUGUUUGCUUCCUGCGGCGUUCUUUCUUUUUGAAGGACUCCACUUUUCUCCCUGCACGCGAUCCGUCUGAUCUUGGAUUCUUCGACUUUAAAUCGAAGUUGUUGAAGCAAACGAAGGAAAAAGGGAAGAAUAUUGAAGAGGGAGUUGUUUUGUUGCAGGCUGAGAGCAUUUUACUUUAGUUGGUUGAUGUUCUAGGAGUCCAAAUAUACUGGUGGUUUGCAUCGAAAUAUGAUUUUAGGGUAGGGACUUUGAUGGGGUUUGAAUAAGGAGAUAUAUGACCAUGGAUCCUUUGAACUUUGAUUGCUCUGAUUGUAUCAAUGUAGAAGAUCUUCCAAUAGACAGCCGUGCCUUUUCUCCUAAUCCAGAUCAGUACCCGAGUCUCUUAGAUGGUUUCUUUUGGCAUGACCCUUUUCUAGAUCUUAAAUCCUCAGAUAGUGCUUUUCUUUCGAAUAAAGUAGACCCCGCCAAUGAUCUCCCCUCGAAAUCUGUUGACCUCGAUAUUGGAGAUUUAAUCUUUCCCAUGACAAGCAUGAGCUCAGGUGGAGGCCCAUUUGGUCCAUCUAUGAUCUCGAGUAGUGGCCUGAGUCCAAGGGCAUAUUCCCUCUCCCCAUCAGAGGACACUGACUCAUCGGAUCCUGUUCUAAAGUACAUAAGUCAGAUGCUUAUGGAAGAGAACAUGGAGGAGCAACCGUGGGAAUUUGCCUAAAUCAUUCAUGCGAAAUACGUGAUUUUCUUAGAUUUCACUGAAAUCUUAGAAUUUGUUUGAUUUUCUCUUGAGGCUAAAUCUAAGUUACAUUUAAUUGAAAAAAUGAUUUAGGCAAUUUUUGGAUCGCUUGAGCCUUUCUUGCCAACCCUAUUUAUUUAUCCGUAGACCUCAUUGAGCCUUAAUUAUUAUUCAAUUUUCAUUGACAUCCAUAUAUGUUUAGCUUAGCUUUUAUUAAAUUAUAUCAUUGUCCCAUGCCCCUGAACACAUUGAUUUUUUUUUUUUGGAUAAAAGUUAAUUUUAGCCUAAUAACAAUUUGGCAUAAAGGAUGGAGCAUGAAAAAGAAAAGAAAAUAAAAUUGAAUGCUAUGGUUGUUUGGGCUAUAUCAUCGAAAAUAAAAAUUACUUUUUUAUGGUUCCCUAUUGAACUUUCAAUUGAGUGAGCCUUUUGGAUAUUCAAUGGAUUGGAAAUUUUCAAGUUAUAUUAGGAGGGAUUUUGGGAGGAACUCCACCAUAAAGCAAUUUGAAAGGAAAAAAAAAGAGCAAUGAAAAAAAAAGAAAGAAAAAAAAAUGAAUGAUGAUAUGUGGUGGGAGAUAUCUUGAAGGAGUGAAAUUGGGAACAAUGACAUUGACUCUAAUUAUAUCCUAAAAAUCAAUGUGUUGAUGGGUGAUUUGAGCUUAAACUUACCGUUAUGUCACAUUUAGCCCAGCCUUAUAUUAUAAACCGAGAAAAGUCCUAUUGAUUUUUGGUUAGAUAAUUAGCUUAUAUUGAUGGAGAGAGGAAUAAAAAGCAAACCUAGAAGAUUUGGUCAUGAUUAUAGAGAAUUUUUGAGAAGUUGUAUACAAAUUUGAAUUUAUCUAGAUUACGUAUAAUUUGAAAAGAUGAUGACUCACACACACAUUUCGAUUACAUAGUUAGAAUUAGUCUUAACUUAUAAAUCAAUUUCAAUGUUUGAAUGAAAUUUGUAUUUUUCUUUGAAUUGUGAAUUUGAGCAAUUAUGGAAAGAUGUCAUGAAGGAGGUUGUUAGCUUGAGUAUGUGUUAUAUAUACUUUUGCUCGAGAAUUAACAAAAUGUUAAGUUUGGGAGUUUGAUAACUCUAUAAUAAUAGAAUUAAUUUUACCUAUUUUAGGCAACGAAUAUAGUACUUUAUAAUGCAAUAUUCAUUAGAAAAUAAUUGGAUCUCCUUCUAUUUACUAAAAUCUUCCUUGUUUAUGCAGAAUAAUAAGAUAUUGAGAAAAUAAGGAAAAAAAAAGGGCAAGAGAAUGAAAGGAAAUUUUUGUAAUUCAGAAAUUCAAAUUAAAAAGUGUUGGAAGAUGGAUACUAAUCAAGGAUUAUGUGAUUUAUUCACUGGUUUUAUGCAAAAAAAAAUAAAUAAGCAAUUGGAUUUUGUUAGGAAUCUUGAAUAUGUCCUAUAAAUAGGAUAAUAUAAACAGCUAAGAUUUUGGUUUUUUUUGAUCGUUUUUCAUUAUUUUGAGAAUUUUUUUGAGCAUUCUCGAGAGAAAAUAAAGUGGUAGCAACAUUCUUGUUCUAUGAUUCAAGACGUUGGGUUUAAUUUAUAUUUUCGUUUCUUCUUCUACAAUAUUAUAUUUUUCUUUUGUUAGGGUUAUGAUGUAGCCUAAAUGUGAAUUUCAUUAUUUUUAUGCAUGCAAGUUACUGGUCAUCACUUGAAUGAUCUAACGUAUAUAUUUGAGACUGAGAAGUGAUGAUAUGUAAUUACUCAUCAUAAUAAAUAAUCAUGAAUUAAACAUGGAUAUAGAUAUAUCAUUCUAUUUGUAUAGCUUUCGAUGAUAAGGUGAUCCAAAAGACUCAUUGUAAAUCAGGAAUAUUUAUAAAUUUUAAUGCACUUAUGUUUAUUUAAAUUAACAUAAAGAUAUAAUGGAUUAUUAAGCUGAGUAGGUUUGCUAUACAUAGAGAUAUGAUAGUAAAUACAUUAAGAAAUUCCACCAUCACCUGUUUAAUAUUAUUAUUGUAUGCAUAAUAAUUUGAAAUUCAUAUUUAGUAGUUAUUAUAAAAUCAAAUGCUCUAACAUAUUUAUCUGAUUGAUUUACUGCAUUUAGUCUCAAAAAUUAACUUUUAAGACUUUUAGUUUUAAUUUAUUCUCAAUUCUAUUUUGAUCUGGUAGAUAAAUUUUAGAAUUAAUUUAUUAAUCAUAAAUCUCUGUGGGGCGGUACUCAUUCUUAUCAUUAUAUUAUUUGCUUGACAUGUUUACUCGCGUUUAUAAUUUUAUGAACAAACCAAUUUUAACAUGCCCUCUUAAGAUAAAAGUCCAAAUUCAACUAAUUUGAAAGAUCAGAAAAUAACAUGAAAAAUUCAAGUUAUACGAACCAUGACACCAGUAUUCAUAGCAACAUGCUCAAUCACAAUCCUUUCUAGAUUGUUGUUAGAGUAUCGAGAACACAAGGAUGCGGCAAACAACAAGGUUUUGUUCAGAGAUAAUUUGAUGUGGCCAUGAAACAUAAAUGACAUUGUUUUGGUUGCUAAAGUCGAAUUGGAUAAAAAAUAAGGUUUCAUCACACACACACUCUCUCUCUCUCUCUCUCUCUCUCUCUCUCUCUCUCUCUCUCUCUCUCUCUCUUGAGAGAUAAAGGUCUAAUUAAACUCCAUUUGUUUGGUGAAAAAUAAUUUUUAAGAAAAUAUUUUGUAGAUUUUAUGGUGUUCCUUUCAUAGAAAAUGAAUUACUUGAGGAAAACAUUUUUCAUGAAGAAAAAAAAAGUCUUCUAAUAUAGAGGAAAAUGUUUCCACUUUUCAAAUAAGGGAAAACAUUUUCCCCGUUUACUCUCUCUCAUCUGACCCCCCUACAAGUCCCUACUUCUUCUUCUUUUCAUUGUUUUCCUCUUAUUCUUUCUUAGUUGGUUGCUAGCCACAAUGAUGGUUGGCAAUUGGCUACAGGCAACCCUCGACCUCGCUAGCGAGCUUGAGGCUCGCCUAAUCUGCGAGUAAGAGCCUCUAGCUUGCCAAUUUGGCAAGCCUCUAGAUCUAGUGAGACCCUAAGCUUGCCAUAUUAGUGAGUCGAUUUGGCGAGCCUCGAGCUCGCCGGCCUUGGGCCUUGCCAGAUCGGCGAGCUAGUCUCUCGCUUGAGGCUUUCUUGUGGUUGGUUGUCGGCGAUUGACCAAAGAUGAAGAGCAAAACAAAGAAAAGAAGAAGAAAAGAAGAAAAAAAAGAAAAAAAAUUAAUAAUCAAUCUUUUAUAAUAUAAGAAAGAAUUAAAAAUCGAUUUUUAUAAAAAAUAAAGAAUGAAAAAUGGAUUUAAAAAAAUAAAAUAAUAAUACAAUUAUUGAAAAAGAUUAUAUGGAGGAAAAGAUAUUCCUUACUAAGCAAUGGAAAAUAUUUUCCACUUCAUUUUUAAAUUUUACUCAAACAUUGAAAAAUAAAUAUAUUUCCUAGAAAAUAUUUUUGAGAAAUGUCAUAUUUUCUUAGAAACGAAUGGAGCCUUAAAGUCACUUGAGACACCAAACCAAUCACCACAGUUGCACACACCUGAGCUUGAAUUCCAAUUGAAGAGGGGCUUCCCUCCAUGGGUUGAAGAAUGAGUUCCUAAGCCGAACGAGGACCGAUUAUUGGGGAUCUCUUACACACACGGACAUUAAUGGAAAAAUACAAAAUACAUGAGAAAUUAUUGAAUUCUUAAUAUGCUUCUUUUUGCAAAAAAAAAAAGGUAAAAAGAAAAAGAAAUAAUGAAGUCGAAGGAGAACAGUGGAUUGUUUUCUUACUAAAAAUGACAGGCGUUUUUUCUUCACUAAAGUUAUGUCAAAGUCAUAUUAGUCCAGUUUGCUUUUUGAUGUCCUCUUAACCAGCCACGUAAAAUUUUUUAUGGCAACAUUAGAUGAGAUCAAGGCUAUUGAUAUUCCCGCGUGCAUGACAUAGAGUUUUCAACGACACAUAAAAAUUCAGGCAUUGGUCGGUACACAGCCGUCCUAAUUUGAGAAUUUUUUGUGGUUUUUUCCCGGGAGUCUCCUGUCUCUUUUUUUUUUUGACUUUUUUUUUUUACUGGCUGGCAAGCAUGGGGGCAUAGUCAACCGCAGCUGGUCAAAGAGGGACCCAUGGUUGACCGAUUCACGGAUCGAAGGGACACGAAGCGGAAGAGGCGCAGAUUGAGAUCAUCCGGGCACCGCCUUAUUGUCUGACCCUAAACAUCCUACGCCGAUCUCUUUUGGAUAUCAAGUCGAAGUUGGAUUGUCCAGCUCAUCUCCUUCGCGGGAUGUUCCGACCUGCACGCAAUCAUUCAUCCGCUGAUUGGCUCGUAUAUUAAGAAUCGCAUCGAAGGAACUUGUCAUGAGGUCGGUCUUUUCUCAGCUUCCAACCCCACUUUCCCAUCUCACGGUAUGCAGAUCCGAUCCAAUCCCUGUUUUCCUCUUUUGAUUUGCUUAGAUAGGAGCGUGUCGAUGUUUGCUUCCUGCGGCGUUCUUUCUUUUUGAAGGACUCCACUUUUCUCCCUGCACGCGAUCUGUCUGAUCUUGGAUUCUUCGACUUUAAAUCGAAGUUGUUGAAGCAAACGAAGGAAAAAGGGAAGAAUAUUGAAGAGGGAGUUGUUUUGUUGCAGGCUGAGAGCAUUUUACUUUAGUUGGUUGAUGUUCUAGGAGUCCAAAUAUACUGGUGGUUUGCAUCGAAAUAUGAUUUUAGGGUAGGGACUUUGAUGGGGUUUGAAUAAGGAGAUAUAUGACCAUGGAUCCUUUGAACUUUGAUUGCUCUGAUUGUAUCAAUGUAGAAGAUCUUCCAAUAGACAGCCGUGCCUUUUCUCCUAAUCCAGAUCAGUACCCGAGUCUCUUAGAUGGUUUCUUUUGGCAUGACCCUUUUCUAGAUCUUAAAUCCUCAGAUAGUGCUUUUCUUUCGAAUAAAGUAGACCCCGCCAAUGAUCUCCCCUCGAAAUCUAUUGACCUCGAUAUUGGAGAUUUAAUCUUUCCCGCGACAAGCGUGAGCUCAGGUGGAGGCCCAUUUGGUCCAUCUAUGAUCUCGAGUAGUGGCCUGAGUCCAGGGGCAUAUUCCCUCUCCCCAUCAGGGGACACUGGCUCAUCGGAUCCUGUUCUAAAGUAC
rnacentral:lncRNA from 1 species